rnacentral:lncRNA from 1 species
GGUGAGGUUAAUUGAACAUCGGAGGUGUAUCGUGUCGGCAAGUGGCAAGUUUGUCCUGAAUACCCAAUUAAGUUACGUGUCCUGGUGGAAAUAGGAAAUAAACAAACAGUGAGACAGCUGUUCGUGGUUUACCUGUUUGUUUCCGAGGCCUUAUGGGAUGGAGCUGGCUGUCACAACAAAAUGAUAUACGACGGACAAUCAAGAGGUCAGCAGUGAAAUCCGGCACCCUGUAUUGGACAGUAUAUAUUUCUACACUAAUUACAAUUUCAAGGUGAGGCGGAACAAGAUUUUUUACGCGGCGUGAUGGGUCGAAGUUCAAGCGACAACCUGGCGAACAAAACAUGCUUGGAUCCCUCUUGGGGGCCUCUCAAUAACAUGGUGGGGAUGGAGGACGGGGACCGAUCUCGAGGUGAAGUAAUUGCCAAGAAGAAACAAAUAUUAAUAUAAGAAUAAUGUCUUGAAGUGAAGUAAUUACCAAAAAAAUAGAAGAAUGGUGAAGAAUAAGAGCCAGCAGGAUCAACCGCUCAAGUUGUCAGCUCCACAUCACGCUCACGUCUGUAGCGGAGAGGAAAGACCAUCGCUAUGGAACGGAGGGGAAUGAUGGUAACCGUCAUCGUAGUUACCCUGUGAAGAAGAUGGUAAGUUCACCUUCCUGCUUGUUUGGCGCUGCAGUUCCUUCAAGACAAACUAAAUCUCCAGCAGUACUGUAUACCUCACAAAAAAUAUCAUUAAGUCAAGUAAGAUCAUCUGCAGUUAUGUCUACAACAAGAGCAUCUUCAUGAAUCAAAUUGGCAAUGAGAUCAAACCACUUAAUAUAAAGGUUUUGUGUAUGUGUCACAACUUUCAACAGCACCCAUAAAACUAAAAGUUUGGAGAGACAUCACCCAAUACAAUAUCCCACAGGUCAGUACAAAGUCAAUUUAUGUAAAUACUACUUACAGUAACUCAAAGGUAAUUCAUAUGAAGCUAAAUUAUAAUAAUAAUUGUUCAAUCAUACAAAUACUGUAGUGCUGACAUCAAUACAGGGUGGGGGUCCAGCUUCUCAUUGUCUCAUUAUUAAGAUGCUGAUGACUUAGAGAAGGUCACUACACCUUGACACACUGAUUAAGGUUCUUUAGGGGUUUUUUCUAUUAGUAUUCUGGAUGUACUAAGUUGCUAAUAGUUUGAUGCAGAAUUCACUUUUAUUCCCCUAAGUGUGAUAGAUGGAUUUAUUCCACAUCCUACAAAGAAACUUUUCCCUCUCCUGAGUUGUUCAAGAACACCCCUCUCACUGCUUUGUUCAAAAUACCUGCUACAUCCUAGUGUGUGCCUGAAAUUUAAGUACUUUUCACCAAUAAUAUUUCAACGGCAAUUUUUUUUUUCUAUUAUAAACAUUAAUUUCUAAUCAAAGGGAAAAGGCAUUUUCACCCCCAAAGCCAAUAUAGGAAGACCUCAAAGCCCUGAUUUAGGAUAUGGGGUGUAAAACUUGCAAUUAUGGUCAUUACCGUACAUAUAAUGACUCUAGGAAUAUUUGGAACCCUAAUUACUCCCAACCUGUAUUGUAAUUUCUUAAAAACAAUUUUGUGUGUUUUUCUUUCAUUCUCAAUGUACCUGUACUAAGUUGUGGAAAGUGAUAUCUUAAUGAAACUUAGUGAGGCUACAGAAACAUAAUUACCGUUACAUAAAUUCAUUACUCAUUAAUUAAACUAAUAAAUGGGUCCCCCUGUAGUUAUGAAAUGUAAUAUUAACUUUAAAUUAUCCUAACCAGACCAAGUUCAGUUUUGGUUUAGUUUAAUUUCCACGAAUCAAGUUAGAUAUUUCCUAUGAUAUUAAAUGUAAAAUUUACUCUUUAUGUACAGGGGUUUUAAGAGGGAUAUGAAGUUGGAGGUUCCCUCUUAAAAGAAGCUACAGCCAUGCCAGGGCACUAAAGAUGAAAUGUAAAUACUCUCACUUCUAUUGAAAAUCUAUAGCUGGAAUGCAACCUUAAACACCUCAAGACCAGCCAGAGAACUAAAAGUUACCCGUGCAUUUUUAGAAUUCCCUUGUAUCUCGUGUUCAGUAACAUUUUGAGUUACAGGGUACACAUAAAAAUAAAGUAAAAUAUUCUAAAGAUUUGUGAUGUUUGCCAAUUCUGUCAUUAUUUAAUACACAUACAGGUAUUGCUCACUUAACAUAGCUUCACUUAAUGUACUGUACUGUCAUUAAAAUAUAGUUCACAACUUAGGUAAUGUAAUCCCGCAAUAAAUUCAAUGAUUUGCUGCUAAUUUAGUUAAACAAAAUAAGAGGCUAGUAGAUUUGUGCAUUCAUCACUGGUUAACACUAGUGUAUUUAUAUUACAGUAUAAAUAUAUAUACUAAUUUAUUGGGGCCCAAAAAGUUUUCCCUGGUAAAUAUCUCAAUUAACAAUAUGGGAGAGUACAGGUAUAGGAGGACAUGUUUUACUUACCAUAAUAUGAUUUUGGAAUUUGUAUAUGUUAAGUGAAAUAUACCUGUAGUGUACACCCACACACAAAGAUGGACAUACAGUAAACAGUUGUACUUGGAAGUACAGUAGUAUGACACAAAAUACGUUACUAAUUUCAUAUACAGUAUAGUCCUACGCCAUCAGAUAAAUAUUCCUUGUGUAUGUGCUCUUGCAGCUGGAAGAAAUGUACCUCUCUUAGAGUCCUAAUAAUAUCACUCAUUAUUGGUAAAAUCAGCAGGUAGUAUCAUGUCCAAUGGCAAAAUCAUAUGAUCACAGCAUAUAUUUAUAAUACAGAUCAUUGGAUACAUGAACAUCUCAGCAACCUUCUUUUCUGACUUAUGACUUAUCAUUAAUACUUUAUCCACCUAAUACAUAUGUAUAAAAUAUAAUUAUAAAAAUCUAU